rnacentral:tRNA from 1 species
CGGGCUGUAGUGUAUCGGUAACACGCAUCGUUCGGGACGAUGAGACAGAGGGUUCAACUCCCUCCAGCCCGA